GUGUUUCCUGCUGUUCUAGUGAUGCCUGGGACUAUUCUAUCUUCCUGGAGGUAUCCUAUCUUCCCACGGGGAGUCCUGUUUUCCUGAUGACAUCCUGUCCUUCCGAGGGCGCCCUGUCUUCCCUGGCGUCGGUUGCUUAGGGCAAGAUUCUGGAGCGAACACUGAAGUUCGCGGCUCGGGAGCAGGCGCUUGGGGGAAUAGGACCCGGACACCCAAAGCAAUGAGGAACCCCGAGAAAGUUGGACGAACGCAUGCACCGAGGGAACAGGCGACGGUCGCCAAGGCACGGGCGACUUGGGGCAAAGUCACUCACGCUGCCGUUGCUCCAGAUGGCGCAGGUUACUGGAAGAGCGUGUACCAGAUGCCACUCUGCAAGAGAAAGAAAGAAGGUCCCUGACUGCAGAGGAAGACCUCUCAUGGUUUGAUUGGGUUGUAAAGUAGCCAAGCGUGGUGACAAACACCGGAAACACUGGCACUUGGGAGGAUAUGCUAGAAUGGGUCCAUAAAACCAGCCAAGAGGAGCCUCGGCCCUUUUUCUUUUAUAGUAGAUGUUGCAAAACUGUGACCAGCGUUGGAUCUCAGCCCACAGAUGUGUUUCGUUUGGCUCACAUGGCAUGAUUUAAAAUUUUGAAUGUUUCCAACAUUUAAAGCUGAACCAAGUCAAAGAAGACUGUUAUUUGGAGCAUGUGCGAGGCUUGGCUAGCCCAGAGGCUGAUGUCACCAGUAUUCAGAGGUUCAGGAUGAUGCCACCUAUUGGACAUAAGAAACCCAGGAAGAUGUAGCUACCCUGUUUUAUUCUGUACACUUGCUGGGUAGAGACCUAAAAGAAUGUGUUUCUCAUGGGAACUGAAGGAAAUAUUUAUCCAGUGUGAAGAGUCAGUCAUGUGACAAUCACAUGGCAAGCUUAAAGCCUUUUACCUCUCAUGUUCUCCUGUCCACACCCACACCGCUCAUGACUUCCCGAGUAUCUCAUUCUUCUGCUAGUCAAGAGAACCCUGGUCCUACAGCCUGAGGCUAUUUAAGCUUGUCUUUGUUGUUCAAUGGACAUACCUGACAUUGUAACUUGUCUCAGUUUCCCAGUUUUGUUCCUCAAUCUCCUUUAUUCUUGCCCAAAGCCCAUCUAGUGAUUUGAAUGAUGGCUUGUGAUUUCCUGUCCUCCAUAAAGAAACCAGAGAUUAGUGUCAGGGUUAAUUUGGCUACUGUUUCAUUUCUUUUCCCACCUGUCCUGUGAGUUUCUCCCUAUGAAGAUAGCUUGUUUUUUUUUUUCUGUUGUUGUUGUUUGUUUGUUUGUUUGUUUGUUUGUUUUCUCUAGCAGUGUCAGCUAGGAUCAAGAAAGAAAAGGUGUAAAGACAUGGCCUGCCAACUUCUGAAAGUUACUGAGAUUGGAAACACCAAAGCCUCCCAUGGAGGAGUUGGAUUUGACUCCUGACCGGGGUCUCAUAUGUGUUUGUCUGAAGUCCUUGUGAUUCACUGAGGGUGGAUGAUGAUACUGCCUGCUGUCUUGAAGAUAGGAAGUAUUUGUAGCCUUCUUUAGGAGGCAGACAAGAACCAGACUACUCCUUACCUGCGGACUCCCUGAAUUAUGUUUUACCUAUGUUGAUUUAUAGCUAGUUAUUGAUAUUUUAUAUUAGAAGCUGAAAAAGUAUUUCAGUGCCUUAGCUAAAAUUUAUAGUGAACCAGAUGCCGUCCAUGGCAGCUUGUUCUGUGGUCAUAUGUAGCACUGGAAAGCUGGUCCCAUAGCAAGUGACUCUACAAUCCACGUGGACCUCAGUGUGGAGAAUGUAGGUCUGUUAAUUGGAAAAAAAAAUGACCACAUCCCCUCGCUCAUCUUGACACCCCAAGUUUCAACUUCAAGGCAAAAAAGAAAAGCAAUGUGUACCUCUUUUGUAUCCAGCUAUUCCAUCCCAGUUUUUAGGUCAAGA
rnacentral:lncRNA from 1 species